rnacentral:rRNA from 1 species
AUUGAACGCUGGCGGCAUGCCUUACACAUGCAAGUCGAACGGCAGCACGGGAGCAAUCCUGGUGGCGAGUGGCGAACGGGUGAGUAAUAUAUCGGAACGUGCCCAGUCGUGGGGGAUAACGUAGCGAAAGCUACGCUAAUACCGCAUACGAUCUAUGGAUGAAAGCGGGGGAUCGCAAGCCCUCGCGCGAUUGGAGCGGCCGGUAUGAGAUUAGGUAGUUGGUGGGGUAAAGGCGCACCAAGCCGACGAGCUGUAGCUGGUCUGAGAGGACGACCAGCCACACUGGGACUGAGACACGGCCCAGACUCCUACGGGAGGCAGCAGUGGGGAAUUGUGGACAAUGGGCGCAAGCCUGAUCCAGCAAUGCCGCGUGCAGGAUGAAGGCCUUCGGGUUGUAAAUUGCUUUUGUACGGAGCGAAAAGUCUUCCACUAAUACUGGGGGCUCAUGACGGUACCGUAAGAAUAAGCACCGGCUAACUACGUGCCAGCCGCCGCCGUAAGAC